AAGGCUGAGGUGUGAUGACGAGGCACUACGGUGCUGAAGUAACAAAUGCCCUGCUUCCAGGAAAAGCCUCUAAGCAUCAGGUAACAUCAAAUCGUACCCCAAACCGACACAGGUGGUCAGGUAGAGAAUACCAAGGCGCUUGAGAGAACUCGGGUGAAGGAACUAGGCAAAAUGGUGCCGUAACUUCGGGAGAAGGCACGCUGGUGUGUAGGUGAAGUCCCUGCGGAUGGAGCUGAGACCAGUCGAAGAUACCAGCUGGCUGCAACUGUUUAUUAAAAACACAGCACUGUGCAAACACGAAAGUGGACGUAUACGGUGUGACGCCUGCCCGGUGCCGGAAGGUUAAUUGAUGGGGUUAUCCGUAAGGAGAAGCUCUUGAUCGAAGCCCCGGUAAACGGCGGCCGUAACUAUAACGGUCCUAAGGUAGCGAAAUUCCUUGUCGGGUAAGUUCCGACCUGCACGAAUGGCGUAAUGAUGGCCAGGCUGUCUCCACCCGAGACUCAGUGAAAUUGAACUCGCUGUGAAGAUGCAGUGUACCCGCGGCAAGACGGAAAGACCCCGUGAACCUUUACUAUAGCUUGACACUGAACAUUGAGCCUUGAUGUGUAGGAUAGGUGGGAGGCUUUGAAGCGUGGACGCCAGUCUGCGUGGAGCCAACCUUGAAAUACCACCCUUUAAUGUUUGAUGUUCUAACGUUGGCCCCUUACCGGGGUUGCGGACAGUGUCUGGUGGGUAGUUUGACUGGGGCGGUCUCCUCCCAAAGCGUAACGGAGGAGCACGAAGGUUAGCUAAUCCUGGUCGGACAUCAGGAGGUUAGUGCAAUGGCAUAAGCUAGCUUGACUGCGAGCGUGACGGCGCGAGCAGGUGCGAAAGCAGGUCAUAGUGAUCCGGUGGUUCUGAAUGGAAGGGCCAUCGCUCAACGGAUAAAAGGUACUCCGGGGAUAACAGGCUGAUACCGCCCAAGAGUUCAUAUCGACGGCGGUGUUUGGCACCUCGAUGUCGGCUCAUCACAUCCUGGGGCUGAAGUAGGUCCCAAGGGUAUGGCUGUUCGCCAUUUAAAGUGGUACGCGAGCUGGGUUUAGAACGUCGUGAGACAGUUCGGUCCCUAUCUGCCGUGGGCGCUGGAGAAUUGAGGGGGGCUGCUCCUAGUACGAGAGGACCGGAGUGGACGCAUCACUGGUGUUCGGGUUGUCAUGCCAAUGGCACUGCCCGGUAGCUAAAUGCGGAAGAGAUAAGUGCUGAAAGCAUCUAAGCACGAAACUUGCCCCGAGAUGAGUUCUCCCUGAGACUUUAAGUCUCCUGAAGGAACGUUAAAGACGAUGACGUUGAUAGGCCGGGUGUGUAAGCGCAGCGAUGCGUUGAGCUAACCGGUACUAAUGAACCGUGAGGCUUAACCUU
rnacentral:rRNA from 2 species